GAUGAACGCUGGCGGUAUGCCUAAUACAUGCAAGUCGUGCGGAAAGGCCCCUUCGGGGGUACUCGAGCGGCGGACGGCAGAGUAACGCGUAGGAACAUACCCCAAACUGAGGGAUAACUGCUCGAAAGAGUAGCUAAUACCGCAUGUGGUCUUCGGACUAAAGCUUCGGCGGUUUGGGAAUGGCCUGCGUUCGAUUAGCUAGUUGGUGAGGUAAAUGCUCACCAAGGCGACGAUCGGUAGCUGGUCUGAGAGGAUGAUCAGCCUGACUGGAACUGAGAACGGUCCAGACUCCUACGGGAGGCAGCAGUAGGGAAUUUUCCACAAUGGGCGAAAGCCUGAUGGAGCAACGCCGCGUGCAGGAUGAAUGCCUUCGGGUUGUAAACUGCUUUAUUAGUGAAGAAUAUGACGGU
rnacentral:rRNA from 1 species